CCUACGGGACGCAGCAGUGAGGAAUAUUGGUCAAUGGCCGGAAGGCUGAACCAGCCAAGCCGCGUGAAGGACGAAGGUGCCAAGGAUUGUAAACCUCUUUUGUCAGGGAGCAAAGGGCGCCACGUGUGGCGUUUUGCGAGUACCUGAAGAAAAAGCAUCGGCUAACUCCGUGCCAGCAGCCGCGGUAAUACGGAGGAUGCGAGCGUUAUCCGGAUUUAUUGGGUUUAAAGGGUGCGCAGGCGGAAUGUCAAGUCAGCGGUAAAAUUUCGGGGCUCAACCCCGUCGUGCCGUUGAAACUGGCGUUC
rnacentral:rRNA from 1 species